rnacentral:rRNA from 1 species
GACGAACGCUGGCGGCGUGCUUAACACAUGCAAGUCGAACGGAAAGGCCCUGCUUUUGUGGGGUGCUCGAGUGGCGAACGGGUGAGUAACACGUGAGUAACCUGCCCUUGACUUUGGGAUAACUUCAGGAAACCGGGGCUAAUACCGGAUAGGAGCUCCUGCUGCAUGGUGGGGGUUGGAAAGUUUCGGCGGUUGGGGAUGGACUCGCGGCUUAUCAGCUUGUUGGUGGGGUAGUGGCUUACCAAGGCUUUGACGGGUAGCCGGCCUGAGAGGGUGACCGGCCAAAUUGGGACUGAGGUUCGGCCCAGACUCCUACGGGAGGCAGCAGUGGGGAAUAUUGCACCAUGGGCGGAAGCCUUAUGCAGCAACGCCGCGUGCGGGAUGACGGCCUUCGGGUUGUAAACCGCUUUCGCCUGUGACGAAGCGUGAGUGACGGUAAUGGGUAAAGAAGCACCGGCUAACUACGUG